rnacentral:rRNA from 1 species
UCCUACGGGGCGCAGCAGCCGCGGUAAUACGUAGGUGGCAAGCGUUAUCCGGAUUUACUGGGUGUAAAGGGCGUGUAGGCGGGACUGCAAGUCAGAUGUGAAAACCACGGGCUCAACCUGUGGCCUGCAUUUGAAACUGUAGUUCUUGAGUACUGGAGAGGCAGACGGAAUUCCUAGUGUAGCGGUGAAAUGCGUAGAUAUUAGGAGGAACACCAGUGGCGAAGGCGGUCUGCUGGACAGCAACUGACGCUGAGGCGCGAAAGCGUGGGGAGCAAACAGGAUUAGAAACCCUU